rnacentral:rRNA from 1 species
GACGAACGCUGGCGGCGUGCUUAACACAUGCAAGUCGAACGGAAAGGCCCUGCCUUUGUGGGGUGCUCGAGUGGCGAACGGGUGAGUAACACGUGAGUAACCUGCCCUUGACUUUGGGAUAACUUCAGGAAACUGGGGCUAAUACCGGAUAGGAGCUCCUGCUGCAUGGGGGGGGUUGGAAAGUUUCGGCGGUUGGGGAUGGACUCGCGGCUUAUCAGCUUGUUGGUGGGGGAGUGGCUUACCAAGGCUUUGACAGGUAGCCGGCCUGAGAGGGUGACCGGCCACAUUGGGACUGAGAUACGGCCCAGACUCCUACGGGAGGCAGCAGUGGGGAAUAUUGCACAAUGGGCGGAAGCCUGAUGCAGCAACGCCGCGUGCGGGAUGACGGCCUUCGGGUCGUAAACCGCUUUCGCCUGUGACGAAGCGUGAGUGACGGUAAUGGGUAAAGAAGCACCGGCUAACUACGUG